rnacentral:lncRNA from 1 species
AGUAUGCUCAUGGGAACCCAGCUGGAAAGUGCUGUGGAAGGACAAAUGGAGAAAAGUCUCCAGAAAUUGGCCUCGUUUGAAAGGACCUCAUGCAAAGAGAGAUCUUUGGAGACAUUUCAGAAAGAUCGUUCGCAGGUUAUAGAAGGAUUUAACACGUCAGGUAAGGUGGAAUUUGGUAAAUUCCCCAAAUUUACAAAUAGAUGAAAGUUGGGUAAAUUCCCCA